rnacentral:rRNA from 1 species
GACAGAGGGUGCAAACGUUGCUCGGAAUUACUGGGCGUAAAGCGCGUGUAGGCGGAUCGGCAAGUCGGGUGUGAAAUCCCUGGGCUCAACCCGGGAACUGCACUCGAAACUGCCAGUCUUGAGUAAUGGAGAGGAUCGCGGAAUUCCUGGUGUAGAGGUGAAAUUCGUAGAUAUCAGGAGGAACAGCCGGUGGCGGAAGGCGGGUCCUGCUGGGCCGAUACUGACGCUGAGACGCGAAAGCGUGGGGAGCGAACAGG